AGGCCUUCAGAGAGAGAGGCAGGGUCUGAUAUGCAGCCUCAGUGGCAGCUGUUGAUCAGCCUUUGCCUCUCUUUCUCUCCCGG
rfam:Myotis brandtii contig224042, whole genome shotgun sequence.